UACGUAGGGGGCAAGCGUUAAUCGGAAUUACUGGGCGUAAAGCGUGCGCAGGCGGUUUUGCAAGACCGAUGUGAAAUCCCCGGGCGUAACCUGGGAAUGGCAUUGGUGACUGCACGGCUAGAGUGUGUCAGAGGGGGGUAGAAUUCCACGUGUAGCAGUGAAAUGCGUAGAGAUGUGGAGGAAUACCGAUGGCGAAGGCAGCCCCCUGGGAUAACACUGACGCUCAUGCACGAAAGCGUGGGGAGCAAACAGG
rnacentral:rRNA from 1 species